GACCGCGAUUGACCGCGGCCGGCCUAAUCCGAUAAGUGAUUUUCCUCUAAUGUACAGAUUAAAAUAGCUGCCAAGGUUAAUUGACCGUUUGACCAGGAUGAUCACUUCAAUUUUGUCUUGGGUUUUGGCACUGGAAUUGAGCACAUUCUCUGCUAUAAAUGGGCAUGAUAUAACAAAAGGAAAAGUUUAUAUAAACUUAAAUUCUUCAGCAUACUACAUGGGUCAUUUUUGGCAUAAUAGCGGUUUGAGCCCUCCUAACUCUGAACCUGACACUGUCCGAAACUAUCUACUUUCCUCUGAUAUGAAGAAAAACUUAAUGUAUAUUUCUGGACUUCCUACAGGAGCUAUAAAAUAUGAACGUAUACAUUGGUUGUUCAGUCUUGUCUCUUUCGAUGUUGAAACAACAAGUUUCAACUUUACACUACUCGAUGAACUGAUGGACUGGAUGAAAACGUUAGACUUACUUCCGAUAUUUGAGAUGAUGGGCACCCCGGUUAAUAGUGAACAGUUUUUAAAAUUGAAUAAGCCAUGGAAACAUUUGUGUUACAAUACAGUUAAACAUUAUUGUGAACGAUUUGGGUUAAACUACGUUCAAAAAUGGAAGUUUGAAUUCUGGAAUGAAAUCGACUCAAAACAAUAUAAUGUUUUUGGUUUUAGUAUUGUAGAGUAUCUGAAUUAUAUUAAGGAAUGUACAGUUGGAAUUCACAAAGUAUCAAAAUCAUUUACUGUAAUGGGACCUGCAGGAGUUUUAAAACCAUGGACAAAUUAUUCAGCCAGUUUCUUGAAGUUUUGCCAUGAAAAACAAACUCUUUGCAAUUUAACUUAUAUCACUUACCAUCAAAAAGGUUACCCCAUGUACAUAAAAGAUGGAGCAAUUAAAUAUAGAAAUAAUUUAAACAAAUUGUAUCCUAAAUUUGCUGGAUUACAGAUGGCUAAUGAUGAAGCUGAUACUAUGACUGGAUGGUGGAAAGCUACACCUUGGAGAGAAGAUGUAAGAUACGCAUCCAAAAUGGGUAGAAUGGUGUAUCUGUUGUAUAAAUCCGCCUGGAAGGCUGAUAUAAAUUUUACCUCUUUUGAUAACUCCUUUCUGAAUCAAGAGCCUUUUACUUUUGAACAAAGAACGCUUUUGGCAAGGUUUACCAUUAAUCAUGAUACUAGCCAUCAUCAAUUUUUUGAAAAGCCCAGCUACAGUGUAAUGGGCCUGAUGCAAAUGCUGGGUGAUUACGUUAUAACAGCUCGACGACAUCGUAUCAACAAAAAUGUAACAUAUGUAUUUACAUCAGUAUCCAAAAAUGCCCCUUCGAGGAUCUCAGGAAUCAUUGUAGGAACAAAUGAUUUUGAUAUGAAUGAGGAUAAAAGUACAGCGAUUCUAUUUAAAUUUAAUGUCCCAGAGACAUGGAAAAAUGAAGUGAAAUAUGCUGUCUAUAUGAUCAGUAAUCUUUUGCCACAUCCAGCUAAGACUUUUCAUGACUUAAAUAAUCCUUCUUCACCUUCUGCCUAUCAAAGGAAAUUGAUUAGAAACUCACAAGCAAGGUCCACAUCUUAUAUCUCAAGGUAUAGCAAAGGGGCAAAUAAAUCUCUCUCUUAAUAUCAGCAACCCGUCAGUGACUUUAAUAAAUAUGUGUCAUAUAACAUCACAAGGGCCAAUCAAGGUUACAAAUUUGCUGGCAAUAAAUAUUACAUUCAAUGAAGUCUUGUUGAUUUGGAAAGACAACGACAAUGUCAACAG
rnacentral:misc_RNA from 1 species